UAGGGAAUCUUCCACAAUGGACGCAAGUCUGAUAGAGCAACGCCGCGUGAGUGAAGAAGGCUUUCGGGUCGUAAAACUCUGUUAUUGAAGAAGAACGUGCGUGACAGUAACUGGUCAUGCAGUGACGGUAUUCAAUCAGAAAGUCACGGCUAACUACGUGCCAGCAGCCGCGGUAAUACGUAGGUGGCAAGCGUUGUCCGGAUUUAUUGGGCGUAAAGCGAGUGCAGGCGGUCUUUUAAGUCUGAUGUGAAAGCCUUCGGCUUAACCGAAGAAGGGCAUCGGAAACUGGGAGACUUGAGUGCAGAAGAGGAGAGUGGAACUCCAUGUGUAGCGGUGAAAUGCGUAGAUAUAUGGAAGAACACCAGUGGCGAAGGCGGCUCUCUGGUCUGUAACUGACGCUGAGGCUCGAAAGCGUGGGUAGCAAACAGGAUUAGAUACCCUGGUAGUCCACGCGUAAACGAUGAAUACUAAGUGUUGGAGGGUUUCCGCCCUUCAGUGCUGCAGCUAACGCAUUAAGUAUUCCGCCUGGGGAGUACGACCGCAAGGUUGAAAC
rnacentral:rRNA from 1 species